AUACAGGGGGUGCGAGCGUUAAUCGGAAUUACUGGGCGUAAAGAGUACGUAGGCGGUUGCUUAAGUCAGAUGUGAAAGCCCCGGGCUCAACCUGGGAACUGCUUUUGAAACUGAGUGACUAGAGUUUAAGAGAGGGGAGUAGAAUUCCGGGUGUAGCGGUGAAAUGCGUAGAGAUCCGGAGGAAUACCAGUGGCGAAGGCGGCUCCCUGGCUUAAAACUGACGCUGAGGUACGAAAGCGUGGGUAGCAAACAGGAUUAGAUACCCCGGUAGUCC
rnacentral:rRNA from 1 species